rnacentral:sRNA from 1 species
CAAGCUUUCGAAACUAACUGGCGAAAAGCUGCAACAAGGAUGAUACCAGGACACAUGGAAAGGUGUUGUCACACUUCUUCCUCUUUCUCCUGGAACGUCUGCGAACGCUUCUGGAGCCAGUGAGUGUUCAUAGCGUCACGACGCACCACUAGUUAACCUAUCAAACAUACCCCUGGCAUUCGAUCUAUCAGUUCGUUCAUGCAAGGGCAUGGUCAGGGGUUCAAUGUCUAUUGUCAUCCAGGGGGUGCGGUAUGGAUCGUGCUUAACUUUAACUACACGCAAAAUCGCCCUCUUGCUAAAUAAGCAUUGCUCCCUCUCCCCGCCCCGGCCCUUGCGGUAUGGAGCCUCGAACAGGAACUGCAAAACCAAGAGG